CACGCCCCCUGGUGGCCGGCCGGAGAGUUGCAGUUAAUUUCCGUUUCUCUCAUUCAAACUUUUUUAAGAUGCAAAAUCUCUUCUUAACUUAGAGGCUGAGAAGAGCGUGAGGAGAGGGUUGAAGUCACAGGAGAGGCCCCCUUUAAGGAGUCAGGGAACCAACGGUCCCGGUUUGCCCGGACUAAAAGAUGGUCUGGGACCGACUGGACUUUCAGGGCUAAAAUCCUGCAAGUCCUGGACAAACUGAGACAAGCUGGUCCCCCAACGUUUAUCCCGUUCACUCUGUUGCUAUAUAGAGACCAGACCUCUACAGGGGUUUAAAUAAAAGUCUGGUGGUUUAAACAGGAACAAAGAUUGAGAGAAGUCUGAGGAAUGGCGCAAUUUCCUGAAAGAAAGCAGGUUUGGCAUCUCUUUCUCGUCACCAAACUGUGAAGUCAGAAAGGGCAGGAGCCGGGUACCUUCUCUCUGAAACGUCAGCAUCCACCACAAAGCAUUUUAAAUAAGGAGCCAUGUGCGUUGCCAAGGCCCUACGAGUCUGGCUCUUGGAGACUGGAGUCUGUGAGCUGCUUCUUUCCACUGUGCGUAGCAGGGGAGCUACGGAAGAGCUCCCGGUCACAAAGAAACUCAACAAGAAGCCGGACGUUAACAUCUGUAGGUCAUAUAAGCCAUAGUCAUGAAAGGACAUUGUUUAGAAAGUACUGCAAUAUGCUUUGAGCCAGUUACCUUUCAGCAGCCAAAAGCACAGCAAUAGGAACUCCACUGUGUGUGUGGACUUUAUCAAUAUAUCCAUAUGUACACAUAUAUAAUUUCUUAAU